UAGAAGUGGAAAAAUUCUAGAAUGCAACGGGUAUAUUAGUGACGUGGCGUAACAAACCAAUCAAAUUAAUCCUUUUAAGAAUAUAUGUCCCAUCAUGAUUGUAAAAAAGUAUUUUUAUUGUAUUUUUGUUUGAAAAUAAGGAAUGUGAUUGGCUUGUUAUUGAUGACGUGGUGCAAGUGUGACAGUGUAGAAUUCCUCGUAGAAGUGGGCUCCACAAGAGUGUUGAGCAAAUAAAAUAUUGGUAGGGGUGAUCCCACCAACACGAGACCACUCGAUCUGCCGUUCAUCAUAUAAAGGCAUGAAUCUUAAAGCAACAUGAACGGUGGAUGUAAAACUCAAAUGGGGGUUAAUAUUUGUUUGUUUCACGAAAAGUGAAGGUCAGACUAAAAUAAAUUUUUAGAUAAACUGAAGUUAAUAAAAAUUUCUUGAUUCUCUGCUGUUUAUUUAUAUAACUGGAAACACGUUGUUUCCCACUAAAUAAAAAUUUGGUGGAGACGAUCCCGACCAUGAGACUACUCUAUCUGUCGUCCAUCGAUAAAAGCAACGAAUUUUAAAGCAACAUGAAUGUCAGAUGUAGUGCUCCAAAUGGAUCGAUAUUUAUGUAAGAUGAAAGACCGGUGGAUUGAGUUUGUUUGUUUGUUUCACCAAAAGUGAAGCUCAAAUUGAAGUAUGCUAUUGAACGAAUUAGAUUUCAGAUAAAUUAUUUUUCUCCUGUUAUUUAUUUGCAUAACUGUGGAACCGAAAUUCCGCACCAAAUAAAAAAUUGACGAGGACAAUCUCCACUGUGAGACUACUCUAUCUGCUGUCCAUUACAUAAAAGUACGAAUCAUAAAACACCAUGAAUGGCAGAUGUAGUGCUCCAGGUGAAUCGGUAUUUACGUAAGAUGAAAGACUUGUGGAUUAAGUUUAUUUGUUUCACCAAAAGUGAAGUUCAGAUUGAAGCAGGCCUUCCGACGAACUAGAGUUUAGAUAAAAAUUACUUUCUUUUAUUAUUUAUUUGUAUAACUGUGAAACCUAAAUUUUCCAUCAAAUAAAAACUUGAUGGGGACGAUCCCCACUGUGAGACUACUCCAUUUGCCGUCCAUCAUAUAAAAAUACGAAUCAUAAAUCAAUAUGAAUGGCCAAUAUAUAGUGCCCUAAUAGAUUAAUAUUUACGUAAAAUGAAAGACUUGUGGAGUAAUAUUUGUUUGUUUCGCCAAAAAUAAAAUUGGAAUUGAAAUAGGUU
rnacentral:lncRNA from 1 species